CUUUGAAACACCGGUUCUCGCAGAAUCAACAAAGUUAAGCAAAAUCGGGCCUGGUUAGUAGCUAGAUGGGUGACCAAUUGGGAAUAACAAGUGCUGAC